UACGUAGGGGGCAAGCGUUAUCCGGAUUUACUGGGUGUAAAGGGAGCGUAGACGGCGAAGCAAGUCUGAAGUGAAAGCCCGGGGCUCAACCCCGGAAUUGCUUUGGAAACUGUUUUGCUGGAGUGCAGGAGAGGCAAGCGGAAUUCCUAGUGUAGCGGUGAAAUGCGUAGAUAUUAGGAGGAACACCAGUGGCGAAGGCGGCUUGCUGGACUGUAACUGACGUUGAGGCUCGAAAGCGUGGGGAGCAAACAGG
rnacentral:rRNA from 1 species